AUUGAACGCUGGCGGCAUGCUUUACACAUGCAAGUCGAACGGUAACAGGCCGCAAGGUGCUGACGAGUGGCGAACGGGUGAGUAAUGCAUCGGAACGUGCCCAGUCGUGGGGGAUAACGCAGCGAAAGCUGCGCUAAUACCGCAUACGAUCUCUGGAUGAAAGCGGGGGACCGAAAGGCCUCGCGCGAUUGGAGCGGCCGAUGUCAGAUUAGGUAGUUGGUGGGGUAAAGGCUCACCAAGCCGACGAUCUGUAGCUGGUCUGAGAGGACGACCGGCCACACUGGGACUGAGACACGGCCCAGACUCCUACGGGAGGCAGCAGUGGGGAAUUUUGGACAAUGGGCGCAAGCCUGAUCCAGCAAUGCCGCGUGCAGGAAGAAGGCCUUCGGGUUGUAAACUGCUUUUGUACGGAACGAAAAGGCUCUGGUUAAUACCUGGGGCUCAUGACGGUACCGUAAGAAUAAGCACCGGCUAACUACGUGCCAGCCGCCGCAGUAAAAC
rnacentral:rRNA from 1 species